AUGGUUACCCUCAGUCAGCACAUGAGUGGCAGCCAAGAAGUCAAUCCUAGGCUGACCCAGAGGCAGUGUUCUGACUGGAAAAGCUGCCAGGCCCCCAGCCUACCAACUCCAGGGAUCUCCAAGGAUGGGCAGCCACAAGGUCAUUGGGGAGAGAGCAGCUCCUGCCCUUUUCAUUGCACUGCAUGGAUUCUACAGUGGGAGGAAAUGGCUGCCCCCAUGAUGCUACCUCAGGAGAGAGAAGAAAACACCCUUGUGAUUAAACAAUAGACCUCCAGUCUGUGAUUGGGCUCUGCCUUCUCCCAACCUGCUUG
rnacentral:lncRNA from 1 species